GCUCAGACGAACGCUGGCGGCGUGCCUAAUACAUGCAAGUCGAGCGGACAGAAGGGAGCUUGCUCCCGGAUGUUAGCGGCGGACGGGUGAGUAACACGUGGGUAACCUGCCUGUAAGACUGGGAUAACUCCGGGAAACCGGAGCUAAUACCGGAUAGUUCCUUGAACCGCAUGGUUCAAGGAUGAAAGACGGUUUCGGCUGUCACUUACAGAUGGACCCGCGGCGCAUUAGCUAGUUGGUGGGGUAAUGGCUCACCAAGGCGACGAUGCGUAGCCGACCUGAGAGGGUGAUCGGCCACACUGGGACUGAGACACGGCCCAGACUCCUACGGGAGGCAGCAGUAGGGAAUCUUCCGCAAUGGACGAAAGUCUGACGGAGCAACGCCGCGUGAGUGAUGAAGGUUUUCGGAUCGUAAAGCUCUGUUGUUAGGGAAGAACAAGUGCGAGAGUAACUGCUCGCACCUUGACGGUACCUAACCAGAAAGCCACGGCUAACUACGUGCCAGCAGCCGCGGUAAUACGUAGGUGGCAAGCGUUGUCCGGAAUUAUUGGGCGUAAAGGGCUCGCAGGCGGUUUCUUAAGUCUGAUGUGAAAGCCCCCGGCUCAACCGGGGAGGGUCAUUGGAAACUGGGAAACUUGAGUGCAGAAGAGGAGAGUGGAAUUCCACGUGUAGCGGUGAAAUGCGUAGAGAUGUGGAGGAACACCAGUGGCGAAGGCGACUCUCUGGUCUGUAACUGACGCUGAGAGCGAAAGCG
rnacentral:rRNA from 1 species